AGGAAACCUUCAGGUAGGGAGCAGCUCAGUGAGUUUUCAAGGGGAAUUGAACUCAACAGGCAUUCCAAGGCCCUGAUCUGUGUGAAUCAUUACUGAAGGGUCAAGAUUUUACCUGAAGGAACCUUCAUCCAGGAAGGACUUGAAACAGGGCGCUAACUGCAAAUGUGACCUGCAGAAUAGAGUCUGUGUCCACCAUGAACAGACCGUUAGAGGUUCUGUUGGUCAUGUUCUGUGACAAAGCUCCUUUCACCAUAUGUGCACCGUAUGUCAUCUAGACUUGUUAUGGGACAGUAGCAGGGAAUCCAGGACAAGCAGGAAUGGGAUCUUCCUAAGAGACCACACUGAAUUCUACCUCAGAACAUCACAUGGGAUAGAAACGGAGAUUUACUGGUCCUCAUCAGGGUCAAGGAUUGAUCUGAAGAACAUUAAUCCAGGAUGGACUUGUAUCAGGAAAUAAUCUAAAUUGGGCCUUCAGAAUAGAGACUGUGUCCACUUUGAACAGAUGUCUGGAGGUGACACAGGCUGGAGAUUUCACGCUGUGGACUGAAAGAGAAGUAGGAAAUAUGCAGAAAUUACAAAUUACAGUGUGCCCAGAAUCCAGCAUGAAGUCUGUGUCCAGCACAGGAGGAGGUCAUGGAAUCCCACAAGAGACACCACAAGCAGACCCAAGGCUCCAAACCCAUGUGCUUGUCUCUAAGCUUGUGAAUCUCAGAAUGAAGAUAUGAUGCCCAAGAGAGCAGGUGAGCAUAAUAUGAACAUUUU